GACUAAGCGUACACGGUGGAUGCCCUGGCAGUCAGAGGCGAUGAAGGGCGUGCUAAUCUGCGAUAAGCGCCGGUAAGGUGAUAUGAACCGUUAUAACCGGCGAUACCCGAAUGGGGAAACCCAGUGUGUUUCGACACACUAUCAUUAACUGAAUCCAUAGGUUAAUGAGGCGAACCGGGGGAACUGAAACAUCUAAGUACCCCGAGGAAAAGAAAUCAACCGAGAUUCCCCCAGUAGCGGCGAGCGAACGGGGAGGAGCCCAGAGCCUGAAUCAGCAUGUGUGUUAGUGGAAGCGUCUGGAAAGGCGCGCGAUACAGGGUGACAGCCCCGUACACAAAAGCGCAUGUGCUGUGAGCUCGAUGAGUAGGGCGGGACACGUGGUAUCCUGUCUGAAUAUGGGGGGACCAUCCUCCAAGGCUAAAUACUCCUGACUGACCGAUAGUGAACCAGUACCGUGAGGGAAAGGCGAAAAGAACCCCGGCGAGGGGAGUGAAAAAGAACCUGAAACCGUGUACGUACAAGCAGUGGGAGCACCCUUU
rnacentral:rRNA from 1 species